rnacentral:rRNA from 1 species
UACGGGGGGGCAAGCGUUGUUCGGAAUUACUGGGCGUAAAGGGCUCGUAGGCGGCCAAGUGUGUCAGGUGUGAAAUCCCAAGGCUUAACCUUGGAACUGCGUCGGAUACUGGAUGGCUUGAAUUCGGGAGAGGGAUGCAGAAUUCCAGGUGUAGCGGUGAAAUGCGUAGAUAUCUGGAGGAAUACCGGUGGCGAAGGCGGCAUCCUGGACCGACAUUGACGCUGAUGAGCGAAAGCUAGGGGAGCAAACGGG